rnacentral:rRNA from 1 species
GAUGAACGCUGGCGGCGUGCUUAACACAUGCAAGUCGAACGAAGCACUUUAUUACGAUUUCUUCGGAAUGACGAUUUAGUGACUGAGUGGCGAACGGGUGAGUAACGCGUGAGGAACCUGCCUCAAAGAGGGGGGAUAACAGUUGGAAACGACUGCUAAUACCGCAUAAGCCCACGGUGCCGCAUGGCACAGAGGGAAAAGGAGUGAUCCGCUUUGAGAUGGCCUCGCGUCCGAUUAGCUAGUUGGUGAGGUAAUGGCCCACCAAGGCGACGAUCGGUAGCCGGACUGAGAGGUUGAACGGCCACAUUGGGACUGAGACACGGCCCAGACUCCUACGGGAGGCAGCAGUGGGGAAUAUUGCACAAUGGGGGGAACCCUGAUGCAGCGACGCCGCGUGGAGGAAGAAGGUCUUCGGAUUGUAAACUCCUGUUGUUGGGGAAGAUAAUGACGGUACCCAACAAGGAAGUGACGGCUAACUACGUG